rnacentral:rRNA from 1 species
UCGCCUACGGGGGGCAGCAGUGGGGAAUAUUGCACAAUGGGGGAAACCCUGAUGCAGCGACGCCGCGUGAGUGAAGAAGUAAUUCGUUAUGUAAAGCUCUAUCAGCAGGGAAGAAAAUGACGGUACCUGAGUAAGAAGCCCCGGCUAACUACGUGCCAGCAGCCGCGGUAAUACGUAGGGGGCAAGGUUUAUCCGGAUUUCCUGGGUGUAAAGGGAGCGUAGAGGGAAGAGCAAGUCUGGAGUGAAAGGCGGGG